rnacentral:lncRNA from 1 species
GGUUAGACAGCUGAUGUCAGAAAGGCCGACCCCACCGCGCAUGCGCGAGCACAAGUGGGCAGGAACAGGAAAUGCCACGAGGACGCUGAAUCAAACCUGCCUAUGUGAAGGGCUGAAGACGCGACAUUUCCUGACAGAGGUCGCUAUGUCUAGCAGCAUGAGCCUCUCCAUGAAAGCAUGAGGGGAGAAGACCUCUUCUCUGCCUUAUCCCAGGUCUUCCAGGAUGGGUGUCUCCUUUGAGAAGCAGGACUGUUUUUAUAGUCUUAGGUCUAGUGGAAGCUGCUUCGGAGCCAUGGAG